rnacentral:rRNA from 1 species
GGACUACCCGGGUAUCUAAUCCUGUUUGCUCCCCACGCUGUCGCGCCUCAGUGUCAGCAAUUGCCCAGCUCACCGCCUUCGCCACCGGUGUUCUUCCGGAUCUCUACGCAUUCCACCGCUACACCCGGAAUUCCAUGAGCCUCUACAAUGCUCGAGCCCCGCAGUCUCGACGGCCGACUCGUCGUUAAGCGACGAGCUUUCACCGUUGACUUGCGGCGCCACCUACGCGCCCUUUACGCCCAGUGAUUCCGGACAACGCUCGCACCCUCCGUAUUACCGCGGCGGCUGGCAC